GUCUCUAUAUUAACGAAACGCUCAUAAAUAGCCACUUAUUUGAAGGCAGCUGUCGAUAGAGUAUCAUAUCAAUCGUAGUUAUUGUUUAUUUCAAAGUUCAGAAUGAAAGGUGUUGCUGUAUUUUUUGUAGUAAUGGCCGUAGUUCACUCUAUAUUAGCUGGCCAUCUCGGAAUCCACGAUGAACAAGGCGCUAAAAAUAUGGCGGAUAUGGCCUGUAAAAAUUGUCUUCCUUUGGUACCGGAUCUAUGCCCAUUCAUAAUGUUCUGUGAUUCCUAUUGCCAAAAAUACCAGAAUGCUACUUUUGGAGUCUGUGGAAGUGAUUGCUGUGGAUGUAUAACUGUUUAAACAACCCCGCCAGAAACAUUUUCCACCUGAAGAACAUGAUAAAUUACCAGAAUUGAAUUUAUUAAAUCAUUAUAUAGCUAUACUUGUGACAAAAAAUACUUUUUUGAUAUUAUUAGUAUUGUUUAAUGCGCCUGAGAUACAAUUUGUGUACUCAAUGAAAAGAAUUAAGGUAUUAAUUAUAAUGUUUCUGAAGUAAAAA